GACGAACGCUGGCGGCGUGCUUAACACAUGCAAGUCGAGCGGUAAGGCCCUUCGGGGUACACGAGCGGCGAACGGGUGAGUAACACGUGAGCAAUCUGCCCUCCACAUCGGGAUAACCCCCGGAAACGGGAGCUAAUACCGGAUACGACCACCUCAGGCAUCUGAUGGUGGUGGAAAGUUCCGGCGGUGGAGGAUGAGCUCGCGGCCUAUCAGCUUGUUGGUGGGGUAACGGCCCACCAAGGCUUCGACGGGUAGCCGGCCUGAGAGGGUGACCGGCCACACUGGGACUGAGACACGGCCCAGACUCCUACGGGAGGCAGCAGUGGGGAAUAUUGGACAAUGGGCGAAAGCCUGAUCCAGCAACGCCGCGUGAGGGAUGACGGCCUUCGGGUUGUAAACCUCUUUCAGCAGGGCGAAGCGCAAGUGACGGUACCUGCAGAAGAAGCACCGGCCAACUACGUGCCAGCCGCCGCAGUAA
rnacentral:rRNA from 1 species